UACAGAGGUCUCAAGCGUUGUUCGGAAUCACUGGGCGUAAAGCGUGCGUAGGCUGUUUCGUAAGUCGUGUGUGAAAGGCGCGGGCUCAACCCGCGGACGGCACAUGAUACUGCGAGACUAGAGUAAUGGAGGGGGAACCGGAAUUCUCGGUGUAGCAGUGAAAUGCGUAGAUAUAUGGAAGAACACCAGUGGCGAAGGCGACUUUCUGGACUGUACCUGACGCUGAGGCGCGAAAGCGUGGGUAGCGAACGGG
rnacentral:rRNA from 1 species